rnacentral:misc_RNA from 1 species
AUGUUGAGGGUCCCAGAAUUGCUUAAGAAUAUUUGGAUGGAUUUUAAUAAGCCAGGACAAUCAAUAGCAAGAACAUGUUUUGCAUAGCUUGUGCAGAUCAAAAAGCUUUAUAGAAAAACAAUUAUGGCUGCAAGAAAUAUAAAUUAAAGGUGAACAAAUAGUAAAGAAUGAAUGAAGUGUUACUGCCAAGAGAAUCUAUGUAUUGCAUUGCAUGUCCAAUAGACUCAAGCAGAAGGCAACUGUAAUAAAAUAAUACCACAUACAGUGGUAAGGCAUGUCGACAACUUUUGCAGUGACCCCGUGU